GACGAACGCUGGUGGCGUGCUUAACACAUGCAAGUCGAACGGGAUUUCGUAGACAGAAGCCUCUGCGCAAGAUGACUAAUGAUAGUGGCGAACUGGUGAGUAACGCGUGAGCUACCUGCCUAUGACAGUAGAAUAGCCUCGAGAAACCAGGAUUAAUACCGCAUCAAAUCGUGGAAACACAUGUUUUAACGGUCAUAGAUGUAUCGGUCAUAGAUGGGCUUGCGUGUGGUUAGCUAGUUGGUGAGAGAAUAGCCCAGCAAGGCGACGAUCAGUAGCAGGUCUGAGAAGCUGAACGGCUACAUCUGAACUGAGACACGGUCCAAUCUCGGACGGGAGGCAGCGGGAGGGAAUAUAACAGGAUGGGGGAAACUGUAAGGCAGCGACGCCGCGUGAACGAAGAAGGUAGUCGUAACGUAAAGUUCUGUGCUAUGGGAAGAUAAUGACAGUACCAUAGAAGAAAGCUCCGGCUAAAUACGUG
rnacentral:rRNA from 1 species